rnacentral:rRNA from 1 species
GACAGAGGAUGCAAACGUUGCUCGGAAUUACUGGGCGUAAAGGGCGCGUAGGCGGGAUGGCAAGUCGGUCGUGAAAUCCCUCGGCUCAACUGAGGAUCGUCGAUCGAUACUGCCGUUCUUGAGGAUUGCAGAGGAGACUGGAAUUCCCGGUGUAGCGGUGAAAUGUGUAGAGAUCGGGAGGAACACCGGUGGCGAAGGCGGGUCUCUGGGCAAUUCCUGACGCUGAGGCGCGAAAGCGUGGGGAGCAAACGGG